CUUUUGUUGUCUGGUUUGGGGGAUAUGAGAUAAAUUUUCAUGGCAAAUAUUUCUUAAAGUUUCCUAGAAUUUUGCUGAUAAUUCUUCAAAGAGAUAGCAUCAACUUCCCGUUUAGAACCCAGAAUAUUCUUUUUCAUGCUAUCUUCUUUAAGUAUCCUUUAACUUCAAAACAGUAUCCUGUUCCCAUAGAAAAUUAGCCACCACAACAUUCAUACACAUUUGCAUAUAGGAAGAGGACUGUACAGUCAUCACAACUGCCAUGGUUGUAACACAUCUAAGCUGGAGUUCUAUGGGGUCCAGUCUCUGUCCAGGGUCAUAUUCAAAGGAGCCCAGAACAGCAACCCAGAGGAAUUAAAAGGAAAUGUCAGUCUCAUUAAAGAGUAUUCAGUGCAAUAACCCACAGCAGCACAUGUCAAAAGCCCCUUUCCUCUCCUAAAAUAUCCAGUUCUACACCUGCUCUGGUGUCUCUGUCUGCUUAUUUCUCUCCUACAUUCCUCUCCCUUUGUUACUCCCCACCCCCUGCUCUCAAAUCUGUGUUUCAAAAGCUUGGGAAAGCAGUUGGCAAGGACAGAAUUCUUUCCAUUUCUUUCCAUAAGUGAGAGAAGAGGAGAAAAAGAAAGAGAAUGUAAAGAGAAAGCAAACCUUUCCUUUCUUUUAAAGGAUUUGAUGGAAGAAAAUAUGGGGGAACUCAUGCAGGAACACAUUUGUCCUUGUCACUUAAGUGACUGUAUAUACAUUAGCUUAUUCAAUCCUCACGAUACGUAUAUGAGGUAAAUAAUGUUAUUACAAUUUCCGUUUUGUUGUCAGGGUAACUAGGACUUAGGAAGGUGAAGCCAUGUCCUCAGGUCACCCAGCUAGUGAACGAUGGGAUAAGGCCCUCGUUUUUAAGCAAUUUGCUGUGCUAUUGUAUGAGGUUUCCAGAGUUUCAUAAAACUCAAUAAUGGUGAUUUUCCAAUUAGAAUGUAUUUUCUCCCCUACGGCUCAUUUUUCUUCUCCAAGUCUAAACCCUGAGAAGUGCAUCUUUGCUUAAAAUGGAUCUUUAUCAGAUUACUUGUGCAUUACCAAGCUGCUGACUUCUUAGUUUUGGAAUCUGGACUCUACCAAAAAUUUGCUUUAGUUAUUCCAAAAAUUUAAAGCACAUUUUUACAGAAUGGUAGAACUAAUUCCUCUUGCAACUAUUUUUUUGUUGAUGCAGGUAAAUUGGAUAGAGUGGGUUUCUUUGAGCAGGUAAGAUUAGUAUGGAGGUGUCCUGGAGGGUGUAUCCACCAGCAUGAGAGUGUGCACAGAGGCUUUCAUAAUUCUUGUAUUGAUGUUGGAGUCUCAAGGGACAAAGGCAGGCUUGGAAGGAAGUAACAACGAUAAUAUCUUGCCAUGGUUAAUGAUAAGAAUAGUUAUAAUUUUCUUUUUUUCUUUUUAAUUAAAAAAUUAUUUUUUUUGGCCAUACCUGUAGCAUAUGGGAAUUCCUGGGCCAGGGACUGAAUCCAAGCCACAGCUGUGACCUACAUUGCAGCUGCAGCAACAAUGGAUCCUUUAACCUCCUGCACUGGAACCUGCCCCUCUGCAGUAACCUGAGCUGCUGCAGUUGGAUUCUUAACCCACUGAACCACCGUGGGAACUCCAGGAAAGUUAUAAUUUUUUAUUUAUUUUAUCUUAUUAUUUUUUGUCCUUUUGCCUUUUCUAGUGCCACUUCCCAUGGCCUACGGAGGUUCCCAGGCUAGGGGUCUAAUCAGAGCUGUAUCCACCAGCCUACACCACAGCCACAGCAACGCAGGAUCUGAGCCGAGCCACGUCUGCAACCUACACCACAGCUCAUGGCAAUACCAGAUCCUUAACCCACUGAGCAAGGCCAGGGAUUGAACUCGCAGCCCCAUGAUUCCUAGUCAGAUUCGUUAACCAUUGCAGCAUGAUGGGAACUCCAAGAAAAAUUAUAAUUUUUUAAAGGGAGGAAGUUAUAACUAAUCGCUGUUGUGAAGGAAGAAGAAACAUAACAGCUGUGGACAAUUAAACCAUGUCAAAGGGUUCUCUGCAGUAGGUACCACUACACUGAUUAUGUAAUAUGGGUUCUAUAACAUCAUAAAUCAGCAUAGUGUCACAGUUUCCUUGGUUUGUGACUUGGGGAAGUUCUGGGCAGAAGUGCGUGAGUGCAGAGGGCAGGGACAUAAAUAGGGGCUUGUUUCAAUCUGAGUCUCUCAGGACCCAGAUAUUCAUGAAGAAAUCGGCUUUGGAGAAUGCAGACAAUAUUAAACACUCACUAUCCCAAGCAGUCAUUUAUCUAACUUUACAACAAAAGUGAAGCAAAACACUCUUUGAAUGUAGGCCAGCAUGUUGAAAAAUAAUUUUUGGGAGGGUAAGUUCGAGGAUAUCUUCACAUCCGGGAAGGUAGAGAGCUCUUCUCUUGAUGCUUCUAUAAGCCAGAGGUUCUUGAGUAUAAAAAAAAUGUUCUAUACUCUGUACACAUUCAUUCCGAUCAAUCAGUACCUUUCUACUUUAAAAAUGCAAAAGGGGACCUCCCAUUGUGGCUCAGCGGAAAUGCAUCUGACUAGCAUCCAUGAGGUCACAGGUUCGAUCCCUGGCAUCGGUCAGUGGGUUAAGGAUCCGGUGUUGCCCUGAGCUGUGGUGUAGGUUGCAGAUGUGGCUCGGAUCUGGUGUUGCUGUGGCUCUGGUGUAGGCCAGCGGCUAUAGCUCUGAUUCCACCUCUAGCCUGGGAACCUCCAUAUGCUAUGGAUGUGGCCCUAAAAAAGACAAAAAAAAAAAUGCAAAAUGAUAAGACCAUGUGUACUUUGGUUCUAGCUGUGUCUGAAAUUAGGUACAUGGCAUUUUUGGUCAUCUGUCAGUUCUUUAUAGUUGACAUUUAAGCUGAGAAAGACACGGGAAAGGGAACAAAUAUCUGGGUGCCUUCUGUGUUCAAGUCCUGUGUGGUUGUAUUUUGUACAUGAUCUCAUUCAUCUUCAUGGAGACACAGGAAGUAGGAAAUACUGUUCCCAUUUCUCAGAUGAAGGAAUUUGAGGGAUGGUGUAUCUCAUGCAAGCUCACACAGAUAGUGGAGGGGCAGACAGGGGAUUUGAACCCUGUGGUGCUACCCUAAACUGUGAUGUUCCACAGGAUGAAGUCUGCAUAUCCACCUUAGGAUGAUGUUCAUAUAUGAAGUGUUAAAUACUUAUUAAACAUUCACAGCAUAUCUUGAAGGGGAAUGAUUGAAUUCAGUCAAACAUUAAAAUUUGUUUCUAUCUCCAUGGUAUUUUAAUUUGACCAGUUAUUUAUUUUGGUUGUUGUUGUUUCAAUGUUUAUUUAUUUUUAAUUGAUGUAUAUUUGACAUACAACAUUAUAUUAAUUUCAGGCAUACAACAUGAUUUAAUGUUUGUAUAUAUGGCAAAAUGAUCACCACAAUAAGUCUAGUUAAUAUCCAUCAUCACACAUGGCUGCAAAUUUUUUUCUUGGGAUUUGGACUUUUAAGAUCUAUUCUCCUUGCAACUUUUGAACAUGCAAUAUAGUAUCAUUAACUGCAGUCAUCAUAUUGUACAUGACAUCCCCAUGACUUAGUUAUUUUAUAACUGGAAGUUUAUACCUUUUGACUCCCUUCACUCAUUCUGGCCCCCCAGCACCCCCCAGGCAGCAACCACCAAUCUGUUCUCUGUAUCUAUGUGCUUAUUAUUUGCUUUUUGUUUGCUUUAUAAUAGCAAUACUGUACUUUUUGAUGCUAUUGCAUUGUAUUAUAAUUUGAAGUCAGGGAGUGUGGUGCCUUCAGCUUUGUUCCUCUUUCUUAUGAUUGCUCUGGCUAUUCAGGGUCUUUUGUGGUUCUAUACAAAAUUUAGAAUUGUUUGUUAUAUUUAUGGGAAAAUGCCAUUGGGAUUUUGUUGGGGAUUGCAUUCAGUCUACAGGGAUUUCUUUGCAUAGCAUGGACAUUUUAACAGUAUGAAUUCUUCUGAUCUAUGAGCAUGGAAAUUCUUUCCCUUUAUUUGUGUCAUCUUCAAUUUCUAUCCUCAGUGUCUUACAGUUUUCAGAGUAUGGGUCUUUCACCUCCUAGGUUAAAUUUAUUCCUAGGAAUUUAUUCUUUUUGAUGCAAUUAUAAAUUGGACUGUUUUCUUAAUUUCUCUUUCUGAUAGUUUGCUAUUAGUAUAUAAAUGCAACAUCAGUAUAUUGCCUUUACAUCUUGCGACUUUACUGACUUCUUGUAUUAAUUCUAACAGGUUUUUUUUUUUUGUGUGUGUGUGGAGUCUUUAGGGUUUUCCAUAUAUAGAAUCAUUUCAUCUGCAAACAAUGUAAAACAUCCAAUUAGGCUGUCUUUUAUUUCUUUUCCUCUCCAAUUGCUCUGGCUAGGACUUCUAAUGCUAUGUUGAAUAAAAGAGGCAAAAGUAGGCAUCCUUGUCUUACUCCUGAUCUUAGAGGAAAAGCCUUCAGGUUCUCUCCAGUGAGUAUGUUAGCUAUGGACUUGUCAUAUAUUGUCUUUAUUAUGUUGAAGUACUUUCCCUCCAAUUGGAUUGAAGCAGGAAAAAAUACAAGAUGAGAGAAGAACAUGUUGUGGUGCAGAAAGUAAGUAAUUUAUUAGAAAAAACAACAAAAACACAAAGCUACCCUGAUGGGGGUUUGUCAGAGGAGGCAGACACCAACUGAAAGAACUCCCAGUGACCCCUGGAAAAAUUUGAGCAACAAAAUGAAUAAAGUAAAAUUGAAUUCUAAUGCAACAUAUAGUGUUAAUAUCUAUGAGUCCUUACUGAAUUAUAUUAAUGCUUGAAUUAAUAACUAAAUGGGAGAAGAGACAAUUCUCCCAGAUAAAAUUACCAAAUAAUUUAUGUACAUAGGUCUCUCUCAAGGAGAAUAGAACUCUCUACUCCUUGAGUGUGGGCUAUGCAUAGAGACUUUUUCCCAAAGUAGUACG
rnacentral:lncRNA from 1 species